CACCCAUUUGCACCUAAAUCCUGGAAUAGGUGAUGAUCCUCCACAAGCUGGCCCAGCACAUGCCCCCAAACUAAAACAAACAAACUCAUUUGCCAUACAAAUUGUUUACGAUUCAUUAAAAAGCAAAAUUGCAUAUCCCGGUGCUGGCAGCUGAGGCCGAGUCUCCACGGGCGGAGGGGGCAUUCACUGAGUUGCCUUUGUAUGCUGGGAGGACCAAGCCGGAGGUUCCCACUAUGAGCCCGGAGUCUGAGCAGCCAGAUGACACAGGAGCUUUGUUUCCAGAACCCUUGGAAAUGUGAAACUCUACAAGAACACGUGAUUUGAACACAGCAUGUAAUAACAGCUAACGUUUAUCCAGCAUUUCCUCUCAGCCAGGCGAUGUUCCAAGAGCCUUAAGUAUUUUUUCCAGGAAAAUGAGGCCCAGAAAUGAGGACUGCUUACAGUCAUGGACCAAGUUAAUGGCAGAGAUGGAGCUCCAUCCCAGGAAGGAAACAGAGAGAACAAGACUUUGGAAACACCUAUCUUCCAGGGUACCAGAAAAUGCUAUUCAAGCUGCCAAGAGAAGGAAGCAGUUAAUAGUCCUACCCAGCUGUGAUACCUACCAACCAUGGCAAUGACCAGAAUGGCAAGAUAUCCAUAAAGUCAACCAAUAUGUGAGCUCUUUACAGCAAAUGAAGGCCAUCACAAAAAUCCAUGACUGGACACAAAGCAGCCACCAAUCAAUCCUGUGGAGCCCAGCCCCAAAGGACACAUCUGCACCACAGCUCCUGCAUCUAUGUUUUUUAAACAUUCCACAACAGGGGAUGGGAAGAUUGUAAGAACCAAAUUACCAGGAAGUCUGCUGUGAAACAGUUUCUCCUAGAAGUGUCUGCAUAAACAAGAUCUGAACAAUGGCAAUGUCAAUAGACUUGAAAGAGGAAAAAAACCUCACAGGGCCACAUCCCUGGAUAAGGAACAUAGUCAACUGAUGAGUGCUGAGAAAUGGGAGAGUCAUCUUCCGUUAGGAAUAAGCUCCAUAAUUAGUUAACUAACACAAACAGUAUCUCUGAAACCAUUUAUAUACAAACAAUAGAAUGGACUCAAAAGGUUGUAUUUAUAUAUUUGUGCAUAUAUACAUGUAACAAUAACAAUGGAACAAGAAGACGCUAUUAGUGUGAGUGUUUGGGGAACUUGGGAGUAGUAGAUAGAGGGAGAAAAGGGAAGGGGAAAGUGAUGUAAUUAUAUUUUAAUUAAAAAAUACAAAACAUUACCAAGAAAAAUCACUCGAUGAAUUUUGUUUUGUGAUUAAGGCAGAGUUUCUCAUAAUUUCUGAAAUGGAUCUAAACAUACUCUUACAUUUAUGCUAUGUAUUAAUGAAGAAUGUUGUUCUCAGAAUUGAUGAUUAUAAAAAUAAAUAUUGAUCACCUGAA